rnacentral:rRNA from 1 species
UACGUAGGGUGCGAGCGUUGUCCGGAAUUAUUGGGCGUAAAGGGCGCGUAGGCGGCCUGGCAAGUGGAAGGUGAAAUCCCUCGGCUUAACCGAGGAACUGCCCUCCAAACUGCUUGGCUUGAGUCCGGGAGAGGUGAGUGGAAUUCCCAGUGUAGCGGUGAAAUGCGUAGAUAUCAGGAGGAACACCGGUGGCGAAGGCGGCUACCUGGACAGAAACUGACGCUGAGGCGCGAAAGCUAGGGGAGCAAACAGG